GAUGAACGCUGGCGGCGUGCCUAAUACAUGCAAGUCGCGCGAACGGACGAGAAGCUUGCUUUUCUGAUGUUAGCGGCGGACGGGUGAGUAACACGUGGAUAACCUACCUAUAAGACUGGGAUAACUUCGGGAAACCGGAGCUAAUACCGGAUAAUAUUUUGAACCGCAUGGUUCAAAAGUGAAAGACGGUCUUGCUGUCACUUAUAGAUGGAUCCGCGCUGCAUUAGCUAGUUGGUAAGGUAACGGCUUACCAAGGCAACGAUGCAUAGCCGACCUGAGAGGGUGAUCGGCCACACUGGAACUGAGACACGGUCCAGACUCCUACGGGAGGCAGCAGUAGGGAAUCUUCCGCAAUGGGCGAAAGCCUGACGGAGCAACGCCGCGUGAGUGAUGAAGGUCUUCGGAUCGUAAAACUCUGUUAUUAGGGAAGAACAUAUGUGUAAGUAACUGUGCACAUCUUGACGGUACCUAAUCAGAAAGCCACGGCUAACUACGUG
rnacentral:rRNA from 1 species